rnacentral:tRNA from 1 species
GCCAGUGUGGCGAAGUGGUUUGAGCAUUGGGCUGCAACUCUGGAGACUAGGGUUCGAUUCCCGCUUAGCCA